GACGAACGCUGGCGGCGUGCCUAACACAUGCAAGUCGAGCGAACAGACGAGAAGCUUGCCUCGCUGAUGUUAGCGGCGGACGGGUGAGUAACACGUGGAAAACCUACUUAUAAGACGGGGAUAACUUCGGGAAACCGGAGCUAAUACCGGAGGAUAUUUUGAACCGCAUGCUUCAAAAGUGAAAGAUGGUCUUCCUGUCUCUUCUAGCUGCAUCCGCGCUGCGUUAGCUAGUUGGUAAGGAAACGGCUUACCAAGGCAACGGUGCAUAGCCGACCUGAGAGGUUGAUCGGCCACGCGGGAACCGAGCCACGGUCCAGAUGCCUACGGGAGGCAGCAGUAGGGAAUCUUCGGCGUGGGGCGAAAUCCCGACGGAGCAACGGCGCGUGGGUGCUGAAGGUCGUCGGGUCGGAAAGCUCUGUUGUUAUGAAAGAACAUAUGUGGAGGUGACUGUGCACAUCUUGACGGUACCUGAACAAAAAGCCACGGCUAACUACGUG
rnacentral:rRNA from 1 species